GAAGGCGGUUGCUAGGGCGACGGCUUACAGAAACAGGAAGCAGACAGGGCGGAGCAGACGUGUCUCCUUCCUCCGCCUCACUGUCUCCCCCUAGCGCCUCUGGGCAGAACCCUGGGGAGAUGUGUGCAGAGCCCCGGCCCUGGCAUCUCAAGGCUGGGAAUAGCUGGCCCCAUACCAGCUUAUUUCCUGGUGCCCUGAGUGACCAGAGCUCAUAUCUACCUUAAUAUCCACAUGACCAUGUGAAUUUCCCCAGCUGUCUGCAACCACCGAGAAGUUCCACAAAAACAGUCAGUACUCAGUGAUGAAACCACGCGCACUUCCAACUCUGCUCAGGUUUGGGGCUGACACUCAUAACGGAAGCUCUAUGCUGUCUGCACAUUUAAAGUCAUCAAGAGGAUAAGAAAUGGGGGGCACUGACCCUUCACCUCUAAGGGUCCAUCUGUGACUCCAUGUCCUGAGACUGACCUGCUAGUUGUGAGCUUCCAUAGACUUCUAGAAACUUGAGGACCUACUACAGUACCGUUCACUUCAUUUAGUAAAAGAUGCAGAGAUUACAGUGAGGAAAAGAAACUCUCAACCUGGUGAACAGCGAAAAAGCCGUAAGAGAAGCCCCAUCAAGAGAAAGGAUCCCACUCUCCGAUUUAGGAUGGAGGUAGAGACAGGGAGAGAGUCUCGUCGAGGGCCUGGAAACAGCAGGCAGUGAGGCCACGUGAGCCCAGGACCAGUGUGAAGGGGUCCCCAAACCAUCACAAGACGGCCACUGAACGCUGUAUCAGACACUGCGUUGGCACU